AUCAGACAAAGCCAAGCUGGCAGCCAGAGUGGAAGCGUUUGCCUAGAAGCUUUGAAAGAUGAGGGUGCUAUUUUCCCAGCCUACCAGUUUCCUGAGGAUAAGUCAGUGUACUGAUAAGAUGAUCUGGUCUCUGGAGCAGAAGCACUAGAAUCUCCUGUGGCAUCAGUGAGGAGUGCAGGUUCCUGCCUGCACCUUCUGGGAAUGAGGAGCUUGCUCUGUUGCCCAAGCUGGAGUUUAAUGGCACGA